CCUACGGGAGGCAGCAGUGGGGAAUAUUGGGCAAUGGGCGCAAGCCUGACCCAGCAACGCCGCGUGAAGGAAGAAGGCCCUCGGGUUGUAAACUUCUUUUGUCAGGGACGAAGCAAGUGACGGUACCUGACGAAUAAGCCACUGCUAACUACGUGCCAGCAGCCGCGUUACGACGUAGGUGGCAAGCGUUAUCCGGAUUUACGGGGUGUAAAGGGCGUGUAGGCGGGGAAGGAAGUCAGAUGUGAAAUUCCAGGGCUCAACCCUGGAACUGCAGUUGAAACUGUUUUUCUUGAGUGAUGGAGAGGCAGGCGGAAUGCGGUGUGUAGCGGUGAAAUGCGUAGAUAUAAGGAGGAACACCAGUGGCGAAGGCGGCCUGCUGGACAUUAACUGACGCUGAGGCGCGAAAGCGUGGGGAGCAAACAGGAUUAGAUACCCUAGUAGUC
rnacentral:rRNA from 1 species